AAGGUAAUAGUCCUGUAUGUUAAACGAGAAGACUUUAGAUAUGAUCCAGAGUACCACGGGACACGUGAAACCCUGUGGGAAGCAGGAGGGACCACCCUCCAAGGCUAAAUACUACCUAGUGACCGAUAGCGUAUAGUACCGUGAGGGAAAGGUGAAAAGAACCCCGGGAGGGGAGUGAAAUAGAACCUGAAACCCUGCACUUACAAGCUGUGGAAGCACAUUUCUUGUGUGACCGCGUACUUUUUGUAGAACGGGCCAACGAGUUACGUUAAGUAGCAAGGUUAAGCACUUAAGGUGCGGAGCCGUAGCGAAAGCGAGUUUUAACUGAGCGUUCAGUUACUUGACGUAGACCCGAAACCGGGCGACCUACCCAUGAGCAGGAUGAAGCGAAAGUAAAAUUUCGUGGAGGUCCGAACCCACGAGCGUUGAAAAGCUCGGGGAUGACUUGUGGGUAGCGGUGAAAUUCCAAUCGAGCCCGGAGAUAGCUGGUUCUCCCCGAAAUAGCUUUAGGGCUAGCCUCAAGGUGAGAGAUACGGAGGUAGAGCACUGAAUGUCCUAGGGGGUAUUGCACCUACCGAAGACUAUCAAACUCCGAAUGCCGUCAUCUUAUACUUGGGAGUCAGACUGUGGGUGAUAAGAUUCAUAGUCGAAAGGGCAACAGCCCAGAUCGUCAGCUAAGGUCCCUAAAUGUAAGUUAAGUGGUAAAGGAUGUGGGAUUGCACAGACAACCAGGAUGUUGGCUUAGAAGCAGCCACUCAUUCAAAGAGUGCGUAAUAGCUCACUGGUCGAGUGAUCCUGCGCCGAAGAUUUCCGGGGCUAAAACUUACUACCGAAGCUACGGCAUCAGUAAUGAUGGGUAGGGGAGCUUCCCAUACGGGUUGAAGCAUGACCGUAAGGACAUGUGGACAGUAUGGGAGUGAGAAUGUUGGCAUGAGUAGCGAGAUGUGGGUGAGAAUCCCACAGGCCGUAAACCCAAGGUUUCCAGGGGAAGGUUCGUCCGCCCUGGGUUAGUCGGGACCUAAGCUGAGGCCGAAAGGCGUAGGUGAUGGACAACAGGUUGAUAUUCCUGUAC
rnacentral:rRNA from 1 species